rnacentral:tRNA from 1 species
GGAGCUGUGGUGAAAUUGGUAGACACCCUUGGUUAAUGCAGGUUCGAGUCCGGCCAGCUCCA